UCAAGUAAUUAAGUGCAUGUGGUGGAUGCCUUGGCAGUCAGAGGCGAUGAAAGACGUGAUAGCCUGCGAAAAGCUCCGGGGAGGCGGCAAAUAUCCUUUGAUCCGGAGAUGUCUGAAUGGGGGAACCCACCUACUUUAAGGUAGGUAUUGCAACAUGAAUACAUAGUGUUGCAAGGCGAACGAGGGGAAGUGAAACAUCUCAGUACCCUUAGGAAAAGAAAUCAAUUGAGAUUCCCUCAGUAGCGGCGAGCGAACGGGGAUCAGCCCAUUAAGUUAUGUGUGUUUUAGUGGAACGCUCUGGGAAGUGCGAACGUAGAGGGUGAUAUUCCCGUACACGAAAGGGCACACAUAAUGAUGACGAGUAGGGCGAGGCACGUGAAACCUUGUCUGAAUAUGGGGGGACCAUCCUCCAAGGCUAAAUACUCCUGACUGACCGAUAGUGAACCAGUACCGUGAGGGAAAGGCGAAAAGAACCCCUGUGAGGGGAGUGAAAUAGAUCCUGAAACCGCAUGCAUACAAGCAGUGGGAGCACCUUCGUGGUGUGACUGCGUACCUUUUGUAUAAUGGGUCAGCGACUUAUAUUCAGUAGCGAGGUUAACCGUAUAGGGGAGCCGUAGAGAAAUCGAGUCUUAAUAGGGCGUUUAGUUGCUGGGUAUAGACCCGAAACCAGGCGAUCUAUCCAUGAGCAGGUUGAAGGUUGGGUAACACUAACUGGAGGACCGAACCCACUGUCGUUGAAAAGCCAGGGGAUGACUUGUGGAUAGGGGUGAAAGGCUAAUCAAGCCUGGUGAUAGCUGGUUCUCCCCGAAAGCUAUUUAGGUAGCGCCUCGGACGAAUACCAUAGGGGGUAGAGCACUGUUUCGGCUAGGGGGUCAUCCCGACUUACCAAACCGAUGCAAACUCCGAAUACCUAUGAGUACUAUCCGGGAGACAGACUGCGGGUGCUAACGUCCGUAGUCAAGAGGAAAACAAUCCAGACCGCCAGCUAAGGCCCCAAAAUCAUAGUUAAGUGGGAAACGAUGUGGGAAGGCAUAGACAGCUAGGAGGUUGGCUUAGAAGCAGCCACCCUUUAAAGAAAGCGUAAUAGCUCACUAGUCGAGUCGGCCUGCGCGGAAGAUGUAACGGGGCUAAAACUAUGUGCCGAAGCUGCGGAUGUAUACUUUGUAUACGUGGUAGGGGAGCGUUCUGUAAGCCGAUGAAGGUGUGUUGAGAAGCAUGCUGGAGGUAUCAGAAGUGCGAAUGCUGACGUGAGUAACGACAAAACGGGUGAAAAACCCGUUCGCCGAAAGACCAAGGGUUCCAGUCCAACGUUAAUCGGGGCUGGGUGAGUCGACCCCUAAGGCGAGGCCGAAAGGCGUAGUCGAUGGGAAAAUGGUUAAUAUUCCAUUACUUCUGUGUAAUGCGAUGAGAGGACGGAGAAGGCUAAAUCAGCCUGGCGUUGGUUGUCCAGGUGAAAGGAUGUAGGCAUGUAUCUUAGGCAAAUCCGGGGUACUCUAUGCUGAGAUCUGAUAGCAAGCUGUACUUGUACAGCGAAGUGGUUGAUGCCAUGCUUCCAGGAAAAGUCUCUAAGCUUCAGUUACACAGGAAUCGUACCCGAAACCGACACAGGUGGUCAGGUCGAGUAGACCAAGGCGCUUGAGAGAACUCUGCUGAAGGAACUAGGCAAAAUGGUACCGUAACUUCGGGAGAAGGUACGCUGUUGUUGGUGAUGGAACUCGCUUCCUGAGCUGACGACAGCCGCAGAAACCAGGCCGCUGCAACUGUUUAUUAAAAACAUAGCACUCUGCAAACACGAAAGUGGACGUAUAGGGUGUGAUGCCUGCCCGGUGCUGGAAGGUUAAUUGAUGGGGUUAGCGUAAGCGAAGCUCUUGAUCGAAGCCCCAGUAAACGGCGGCCGUAACUAUAACGGUCCUAAGGUAGCGAAAUUCCUUGUCGGGUAAGUUCCGACCUGCACGAAUGGCAUAAUGAUGGCGGCGCUGUCUCCAGCAGAGGCUCAGUGAAAUCGAAAUCGCUGUGAAGAUGCAGUGUACCCGCGGCUAGACGGAAAGACCCCGUGAACCUUUACUGCAGCUUGACACUGAACUUUGACCUUACUUGUGUAGGAUAGGUGGGAGGCUUUGAAGCUGGAACGCUAGUUCCAGUGGAGCCGUCCUUGAAAUACCACCCUGGUAAUGUUGAGGUUCUAACUCUGUCCCGUGAUCCGGGACGAGGACCGUGUCUGGUGGGUAGUUUGACUGGGGCGGUCUCCUCCUAAAGAGUAACGGAGGAGUACGAAGGUGCGCUCAGCGUGGUCGGAAAUCACGCGUAGAGUAUAAAGGCAAAAGCGCGCUUAACUGCGAGACCCACAAGUCGAGCAGGUACGAAAGUAGGUCUUAGUGAUCCGGUGGUUCUGUAUGGAAGGGCCAUCGCUCAACGGAUAAAAGGUACUCUGGGGAUAACAGGCUGAUACCGCCCAAGAGUUCAUAUCGACGGCGGCGUUUGGCACCUCGAUGUCGGCUCAUCUCAUCCUGGGGCUGAAGCAGGUCCCAAGGGUAUGGCUGUUCGCCAUUUAAAGAGGUACGCGAGCUGGGUUUAGAACGUCGUGAGACAGUUCGGUCCCUAUCUACCGUGGGCGCUGGAAAUUUGAGAGGAUCUGCUCCUAGUACGAGAGGACCAGAGUGGACGAACCUCUGGUGUACCGGUUGUGACGCCAGUCGCAUCGCCGGGUAGCUAUGUUCGGAAGGGAUAACCGCUGAAAGCAUCUAAGCGGGAAGCCUACCUCAAGAUAAGAUUUCCCUAGGACUUUAUGUCCUCUAAAGAGCCGUUCGAGACUAGGACGUUGAUAGGUUGGAUGUGGAAGCAUAGUGAUAUGUGAAGCUGACCAAUACUAAUUGCUCGUGAGGCUUGACUAU
rnacentral:rRNA from 1 species